GUAGGGUGGAGACAAACUGGGGCUGUGGCCUGGGAUGGCAGCCCUAUUCGCCUUUCCGCGAGGUGUUGGGAGCUUUCCAGGGUUCCCUCACUCCACCCUGCGCGCUCUGCCAGGGGGAAACACUUCUACAAAGCCCCUGAAGACCUCGCGCGAGCUAAGAUGGAAGAGGGGAAGUCGGUGUGUCCCUUUGCCCCGCUCCCACCCUCCUGUGUGUGCUCACCCAGACGCGUCUGCUUCCUUGCGACCCCAUGAACUAUGAUCUCCAUGAUGAUAGAACAAAAAGGGCAAGCAGAUCUUGCAACACAGUUGACCAUGAAGACAGAGAAGCAAUCUCCAAGCAGUGAAGAUCUGGGUUUUCAGCCAUCCCUGAAUUCACCUACCUCCAGCACAUGAGAGAAUGGUCAAAAGCAGGGACCAGGAGUUUAAAUAUACAGACAACGGCCAGACCAAAUAUAAAAACAGAAUUCUGAUUCACAUUCUGCAGCACUCAGUCCAGGAAGGCAAACAAUGCCUAUGACAAUCAACACAAGAGGCCAGGACUUGAUUAAUGACUGACAGCUUCACUCAUUUUCCUUUAGGAUCAACUGAGACCCAGCUGGGAAAGUCAAAUAUGCACCCCUACUCAAUCACAUACAAUGCUCUGCUUCCAGUUAGCCUACCUACAGUUUCCCCAGGCCAACACCUCUUCCUUCAGGCAUACCUUUUUUCCAUUUUAUAUAAACUUUUCCCUCUCCUCUGCCUGCUUUUGAGACUCUGCCAACACAAAUGAUGGUAGCUAACUCCCUUGCUAUAGCAACCUCUUAAUAAAAAGCCUUCACUUGUUCCCAUUUGGGUGAUCUUUAUUUUCCCACAAGAUAAUCCAUGAGUUGAUAUUUUUUGAAGUUGUGGGACUAGUAUUAUUGAUCAUUCAUUUAUGCUAUCCUCUCUACC
ensembl:lncRNA